ACUUGUGAUGACUUCAUUUCAAAAAAUACAAACUAGAGUUUCUGAAUAUUUUAUGAUUAGAAACGAAAGCAAAUGUACUGAAG
rnacentral:snoRNA from 1 species